UCGGGAAUUUUGGGCAAUGGGCGAAAGCCUGACCCAGCAACGCCGCGUGAAGGAUGAAGUAUUUCGGUAUGUAAACUUCGAAAGAAUAGGAAGAAUAAAUGACGGUACUAUUUAUAAGGUCCGGCUAACUACGUGCCAGCAGCCGCGGUAAUACGUAGGGACCAAGCGUUGUUCGGAUUUACUGGGCGUAAAGGGCGCGUAGGCGGCAAUUCAAGUCAUCUGUGAAAUCUCCGGGCCUAACUCGGAACGGUCAGAUGAUACUGCUUUGCUAGAGUGCAGAAGGGGCAAUCGGAAUUCUUGGUGUAGCGGUGAAAUGCGUAGAUAUCAAGAGGAACACCUGAGGUGAAGACGGGUUGCUGGGCUGACACUGACGCUGAGGCGCGAAAGCCAGGGGAGCAAACGGGAUUAGAUACCCCCGUAGUCCCUGAGCGGGCUGGCAAGGCGCAU
rnacentral:rRNA from 1 species